rnacentral:misc_RNA from 1 species
GAUAAGAACGUAGCGAAAUGCGAUACGUAAUGUGAAUUGCAGAAUUCAGUGAAUCAUCGAAUCUUUGAACGCAUAUUGCGCUCUCUGGUAUUCCGGAGAGCAUGCUUGUUUGAGUAUCAGUAAACACCUCAACUCCCUUUUCUUUUUUGAAAUUGGAGCUGGACUUGAGUGAUCCCAACGCUUUCUUCCAAGAAAGUGGCGGGUUGCUUGAAAUGCAGGUGCAGCUGAACUUUUCUCUGAGCUAUAAGCAUAUCUAUUUAGUCUGCCUAAAAAACAGAUUAUUACCUUUGCUGCAGCUAACAUAAAGGAGACUAGUUCUUGUGCUGACUGAUGCAGGAUUCACAGAGACAGCUUCGGCUGACUUUGUAAACUCGAUCUCAAAUCAAGUAAGACUACCCGCUGAACUUAAGCAUAUCAUAAGCGGAGGA